GAAAGCUAUUGAAGAUUGCUACGUGAGUGGAUACGGAAAAAAGAUUGUCCUCCAAUAUGGCAGUGAAACUGAUCGUUUAAAUCCACCGCGUACAUUUGUACCGUGGGUGACAGUAAACAAUCAGCCACUCUACGGUGAUUAUAAUAAUUUUGCAUCAUAUAUCUGCAAGGCAUACCAAGGCAACACUGUUCCUGAGGCUUGUAGAUCCCCUUUGUCUUCCAGUUUAACAGAGAAGCAAAAUUUAACCCAUAAGGUAUGCUAUACUGGUGAAGCUACAAAUUCAACCUUGUUUAACCCGGGAAGAGAAUCAAAGCAUAAUGGAUGAAUUGCUACUUCAUAACAAUACUCACGAAAUCACACAUCUAAAAAUCAAUUAAAGCUUGUAUCCAAUAUAAAUGGUCUCAAGAUUUUGUUUUUGGCUUGACAUCAGAAGAAAUCAAUAUAAAUGGCUUUCAUGAAUCGUCUUACGUUCAUGAAAGCCAUUUUAAAAUAAUACUCUGUUGUAUCACUUUUUGGAGCCUAAUUAGG